GACGAACGCUGGCGGCGUGCCUAAUACAUGCAAGUUGAGCGAUGAAGAUUGGUGCUUGCACCAAUUUGAAGAGCAGCGUACGGGUGAGUAACGCGUGGGUAAUCUGCCUUUGAGCGGGGGACAACAUUUGGAAACGAAUGCUAAUACCGCAUAACAACUUUAAACAUAAGUUUUAAGUUUGAAAGAUGCAAUUGCAUCACUCAAAGAUGAUCCCGCGUUGUAUUAGGUAGUUGGUGAGGUAAAGGCUCACCAAGGCGGUGAUACAUAGCCGACCUGAGAGGGUGGUCGGCCACAUUGGGACUGAGACCCGGCCCAAACUCCUACGGGAAGCAGCAGUAGGGAAUCUUCGGCAAUGGGCGGAAGUCUGACCGAGCAACGCCGCGGGAGGGAAGAAGGUUUUCGGGUCGGAAAACUCUGUUGGUAGGGAAGAACGUUGGUGAGAGUGGAAAGCUCAUCAAGUGACGGUAACUACCCAGAAAGGAACGGCUAACUACGUG
rnacentral:rRNA from 1 species